rnacentral:tRNA from 1 species
AUGCUUGUGUUGAUGAUGUAGAAAAUGUUCUCGCUGCUAUUGCAUACAACGUUAAGUUUGGUGGUAAUAACA